CACGAACUGUGCGAACGUUAUUCGGAAUUACUGGGCUUAAAGAGUUCGUAGGCGGCUUGUUAAGUCGGGUGUGAAAUCCCUCGUCUCAACCGAGGAAUUGCGCUCGAAACUGGCGGGCUUGAGUGAGAUAGAGGUGAGCGGAACUGAUGGUGGAGCGGUGAAAUGCGUUGAUAUCAUCAGGAACACCGGUUGCGAAGGCGGCUCACUGGGUCUUUACUGACGCUGAGGAACGAAAGCUAGGGGAGCGAACGGG
rnacentral:rRNA from 1 species